UAUAGCGCAUAGGAAAUGCUUGAAGACGAAAGUUUGCGUGGCCGUAUUUAUUUUGUUACGCAGCGCCUGAUAUCGACGAUUUUUUUGUAGGGUUUCCUGCCGUAACUUCUUCACUCUGCGGCAGCGGAAGUCUGUCUGUCAAUGCAGUUGUCAAGUAUGUUGAAGGCUUCAGAUGUGUGCCUUUGGAGGUGCCGCCUGCUUCGCUCACGUCAGUGAGGCGACGAUAGAAAUCUUUCCGGGAAGUUACUCAGUGUUGUGGCCUGCUGACCAUCUUCAAGUGCACGUCACCGUGCAUUUGUCUACAGUGAAUUACAUGGUACAUCACGCAAGCUUUGGGCAAGCAACAUGGCAUUGCAGCUUUGAUAUGUGCAGUGGACUCUGGCAAAGUUUAUGGACUUCUGAAGUGACUGCUAUUUGUGCGUGAGCCCUUGACUUGAAGUGAGCCCUUGAGAGCAUGGCUACUGCGACACUUUUCGGUUGCUGGGAUGCACUGAGGUGCACAGGAAGAUGCAAGUAACUUAAC